rnacentral:rRNA from 1 species
UACGUAGGGGGCUAGCGUUGUCCGGAAUCAUUGGGCGUAAAGAGCGUGUAGGCGGCCCGGUAAGUCCGCUGUAAAAGUCAAAGGCUCAACCUUUGAAUGUCAGUGGAUACUGCCGGGCUAGAGUCCGGAAGAGGCGAGUGGAACUCCGAGUGUAGAGGUGAAAUUCGUAGAUAUUCGGAAGAACACCAGUGGCGAAGGCGGCUCACUGGUCCGGUACUGACGCUGAUGUGCGAAAGCGUGGGGAGCAAACAGG